rnacentral:rRNA from 1 species
GUGGCUUUCAGCAUUCUUCCCAUGCAGUCGAGGGGCAGCGGGGAUAAGCUUGCUUAUCCGCCGGCGACCGGCGCACGGGUGCGCAACGCGUAUAGAAUCUGCCCUGUACUGGGGAAUAGCCCAGAGAAAUUUGGAUUAAUGCCCCAUGGUAUGUUGAAGCGGCAUCGCUUUUACAUUAAAGGCUACGGUACAGGAUGACUAUGCGUCCCAUUAGUUAGUUGGUAAGGUAACGGCUUACCAAGGCAGCGAUGGGUAGGGGCCCUGAGAGGGGGAUCCCCCACACUGGUACUGAGACACGGACCAGACUCCUACGGGAGGCAGCAGUGAGGAAUAUUGGACAAUGGGCGGGAGCCUGAUCCAGCCAUGCCGCGUGCAGGAAGACGGUCCUAUGGAUUGUAAACUGCUUUUGUACGGGAAGAACAAGGGGCACGUGUGCCCUUCUGACGGUACCGUAAGAAUAAGGAUCGGCUAACUCCGUGCCAGCAGCCGCGGUAAUACGGAGGAUCCGAGCGUUAUCCGGAAUCAGUGGGUUUAGAGGGUCCGUAGGCGGGCCAUUAAGUCAGGGGUGAAAGUCUGCGGCUCAACCGUAAAAUUGCCCUUGAUACUGGUGGUCUUGAGUUAUGGUGAAGUAACUAGAAUAUGUAGUGUAGCGGUGAAAUGCAUAGAUAUUACAUAGAAUACCGAUUGCGAAGGCGGGUUACUAACCAUAUACUGACGCUGAUGGACGAAAGCGUGGGGAGCGAACAGGAUUAGAUACCCUGGUAGUCCACGCCGUAAACGAUGGAUACUAGCUGUCCGGGAUGCAAAUCUGGGGCGGCCAAGCGAAAGUGAUAAGUAUCCCCACUUGGGGGAGUACGUCCGCAAGGAUGAAACUCAAAGGGAAUUGACGGGGCGCCCCGCACAAGCGGUGGGAGCAUGUGUUUAUUCGAUGAUACGCGACGAACCUUACCAGGGCUUAGA